AGGAACAUAAAUUGAAACUUUACAGCAAUAACCUUCCUUUCUGCAUGGAAAAGAUAAUUAGAAACUCAAUUAUUUUGCCAAAGUCAUAGGAAGUCUCUGAUAUUGCAGGUGGAUAGAAGUAAUGGCUCCUGUGUUUUCGAACGCUGCCUAGCGCUGCGUCUGGUAUAUGAUCCAGAUAUGCUGGAUGAACUACAAGAACACGUUAAAUCUAUUGACAUGGCUAAUGAUGAGUUCUUGGUUUAAUUUAAUCUUUCAGCGACUUCUGCAUAAGAUUAUUUGGUAUUUAUGAGUAUUGGGAUUGAGGUCCAGAUAGAUUGAUUGAUUGAUAUGCGGAAGGUUGGAUUUGAUGAGAUAUCAUGAAAAAGUCUAGUCAUAGUUUUCAAUGUUGCCUACUGAUUACCUUUGUGGUGGAAGAAGCUGCUUACCUGCACGCGUGAUGUGCCUGUAUAAGCCUUUCAUUCUAUUUUAGUUUCCUCCUAGACCAGUGAUGUCUUUUCUCCUUCAAAAUAGUAAUAAUGAUGUUGCUCUGUUAUUUCACUUUCUUCUAAUUCAAGGAUAUUUAUUCCGAACAUGUAUGUGAUCACAAAUUACUGCAGUAAAGUUGUGUAACUUUGUAUGAGAUUUUAGUGAAGAUAUUUGUUUCUAGAAUAGCCAGAACGAUGAGUAAGUAAAAUGACCUGAUCUUAAGUGGACCACACAAUGUAGGAUUAGUUCACGAAACUCAGUCAUGUAAUGACAUAAAAAAGAAAAGAACAUGACAAUGAAAAGGAAAGAAGAAAGGAGGGGGUCUAAGAGGCUUCGGUAUGACUGCAGUUAAGGGUUAGCCUGAACAUAAAGUGAAUGGAAAUGACCUACAGUUCAACAUGUUAUUGACUCUGGUGCCUCUUUAUAAGCUUGGCAAUUGGCCUGCUUCCUUGGAUAAAAUAGAAUAAUUAUAGAAGAAGGCCUUUAAGAGUAUCAAAGAGCAUGAAAUAAAGGAUUCCAUUUAAUGUCUUGUCCUUUACACCAUUAAUGUUAAACUGGAAUGCCUAUAACUAAGCUAUAUCGGUUCUCAAGAGCCACUUGAACAUGGGAGGCGGUAUUCCUUGGGUUACUGCUGUGGAAACUAGAAAAAGGGAAGAAAACCAGAGAGACCUGGGAAGUAGUUUAUACUCUGUUAGUGUUACUGGCUCAGAAUUUGUAAAUGAUGCUUACUUUAUGAUCAUUGUGUAUAUAAGGAUAUUGUGUAUAUAAGGAUACAAUGUCUAUGUCUUGAAUAAGUGAAGGUAAGAAAUUGUAUUUAAGGCUUUGUGUAAUUGUCUUCUCCCUUAUGAUGUUGAAUAAUCUUCUUAGGCUGCUGUAAGUUAGAAUCUUUUAUAUUUGUAUAUUUUGUUACUGGCACAUUUUUUCUUGCCAAACUGACUUGUUACUUGAGUAUUUGUAAUUUAUAAGUGACAUUUCAUAUGUAAAUAUAUGAUCUUUGUGGCGGAAGAAGCUGCUUUCAAAUAACCAUCUACAAGAGUUCAAGCAGAAAUUCGCCUGCUUUCGAAACACACAGCAUCCCUACUCUGGAACUGGUGACAUGGCUAGCUAGAGACUCUUUUGAUUUUUUUAAUGCCUUAAACAUUGGAACUUUGAUCAUUAUAGCAAUUAUUUGUGUAUUAUGAUCAGUGUAUCAGUGAAUGCUUAUCAGUUAUGUAUUGAUGGCAGAAAACUGUAGGGAAAUAAUUGUAUUUUUUUUAAAAGAAAUGUAUAUUUUUGCCAUGGUUGAACCGUGGCUAAUUUGUAUGAGCUAAUUUCUGUUGUCAUAUUUACCCGUGGAA